UACGGGGGGGCAAGGGUUGUUCGGAAUUACUGGGCGUAAAGGGCGCGUAGGCGGUUUGCUAAGUUGGACGUGAAAACUCUGGGCUUAACCCAGAGCCUGCAUCCAAAACUGGCAAGCUAGAGUUUUGGAGGGGGAAGCGGAAUUCCUGGUGUAGCAGUGAAAUGCGUAGAUAUCAGGAGGAACACCGGUGGCGAAGGCGGGUCUCUGGGCCGUAACUGACGCUGAGGAGCGAAAGCGUGGGGAGCAAACAGG
rnacentral:rRNA from 1 species